CUUAGCUCAGCUUACCAUCCGCAGACAGAUGGGCAGACCGAACGAGUGAACCAAUGCCUCGAAGCUUACUUGAGGUGUGCUGUGCAUUCCUGUCCUGGGAAUUGGUCCAAGUGGUUGGCGCUCGCGGAGUACUGGUAUAACACCUCGUUUCAUUCGUCGCUGGGCAGGACACCGUUCGAAGUGAUCUACGGACACCUUCCGAGGGAGUUUGGAGUUACUCAAGUGGAUACGUGCACGGUCCCAGACCUCGCGGCUUGGCUUCAGGAACGGCAGGUCAUGAUGGAACUCCUUCAGCAACAGCUGAAGAGAGCGCAGGACAGAAUGAAGACGCAAGCUGACCGGAAACGCACAGACAGGGAAUUUGCAGUGGGUGAUGCGGUGCUACUCAAGCUGCAACCGUUCAUCCAAACGUCUGUUGCACAGCGACCGCAUCAAAAGCUGGCAUUCCGCUACUAUGGUCCUUACCGAGUGCUAGCUCGGGUGGGGGCUGUCGCCUACAAGCUCCAGAUGCCGGUGGGCAGCAAGAUACAUCCGGUGGUACAUGUGUCGCAACUCAAGAAGGCGGAAGGAGCUACGGUACCUAUCAAUUCUGACCUCCCUCCUGAGAAUUCUAUCUUGCAGGCAGAGCACACACCCGUCGCGGUCCUGGAAAGCAGACUGGUACAAGUGGCGGGGGCGCCGCGGCAGCGGAUCCGCGUACAGUGGAGUCAACUGCCGGUUUCCUUGUCCACCUGGGAAGACCCGGAUGCUCUGCAACAACGGUUUCCUGCUUCUCCGCCUUGGGGACAAGUCGGCACGCAAGAGGGGGCGAUUGUCACGUAUGACACCAAGGCCCCAGCUGACGCUGCGAUGGAAGAGGCGACGGGCGAA
rnacentral:rRNA from 1 species